UAUCAAAUUGAUUGGAUUGUGAUUAUCAAGUCAAUUAAAAAAAUAUCUGCAUUCAUUUUACAUUAAUAUAUAUACUUAUGGUGGCUAAUUGCUUUUAUCACCUACCCUUUGUCGGAUAAAUGCGUGAUAUACUUACAUUAUUGAAUAUAAUGGUCACCAAUUUAACUACUCAACACCUAGUGUUCCACUAAUAUACUUACAUUAUUGAUUCAGGGUACUUUCUUUGAUGAUUAUAUAAUGGUCACCAAUUAAACUACUCAACACCUAGUCCCUGGUCGUUUCGCACCUAAUAUGGGGCGAAACGACCAGGUGCGAAACGACCAGGGCGGAAACGUCUUGGGGGCGAAACAUCCGAGGACCCUUUAAGAGUCCUGUAGGCCUACUGAAAGUAGAGCUCUAGAACGACCUAAAAUCUCAUUUCAGUUGAGACCGAUUCAACUUGCCGUCUCGACCUAAAUAUAUGUUACUUGUUAAAGAUGUAGGCAACGUUCUUCAAAAGGAGAUUAAUUUAUAACUUUCUGCGGGAAAUCGUCUACCAAUGUAACAAUGAAAUAAACAGUUUCCAGAUGAAAAGUUGAUGUACCGAAGGCAGAUUGGUCAGCAAGUGAAACAUAGUCUGUGAGUGUUGAGAAUAAAUGGAACUCUAGCCAGAUACUGGACAUGUACUAGUAUAUUACUAACCUCCUUUCCUGUCUAUAUGGAAGUGACUGUACAGUAGUUGUAAUAGUUGCCAAUUGAGCAGCAUAAUGGAACUCAAAUCAGACACUGGCAAUGUACUGACAUGAUCCAAAGUGUCUAGGUGACAUUGACUGCUUGGAAUAGUAGUCUAGUGAGUAGUGGUACCAGAACUAAAUCAAGACACUAGACAUGUACGGACCUCCAUCAUGUCUUGGUGGAAGUGACUGAGUUUGGAAUAGUUGUCAAGUGAGCAGCAGGAAUUGAACUUAAAGUCAGCCACUGGACCUGUACUGACCUUCAACUUGUUGAGGUGGAAGUGACUGUGCAGGGAUAGUUGUCAAGUCAAGAAUUACAAUCCAAGUCUUGUCAGUUGAUGUACAGAAGACACACUGGUCAGCCAAGGAAUCAUGUUCUGUGAAUAGCAAGAAUGUUACUUGAGCCAGGGAAUCAUGUUCUGUGAAUAGCAAGAAUGUUACUUGAGCCAGGGAAUCAUGUUCUGUGAAUAGCAAGAAUGUUACUUGAGCCAGGGAAUCAUGUUCUGUGAAUAACAAGAAUGUUACUUGAGCCAGGGAAUCAUGUUCUGUGAAUAGCAAGAAUGUUACUUGAGCCAGGGAAUCAUGUUCUGUGAAUAGCAAGAAUGUUACUUGAGCCAGGGAAUCAUUUUCUGUGAAUAGCAAGAAUGUUACUUGAGCCAGGGAAUCAUUUUCUGUGAAUAGCAAGAAUGUUACUUGAGCCAGGGAAUCAUGUUCUGUGAAUAGCAAGAAUGUUACUUGAGCCAGACACUGAAACUGUACUAGCCUCAUUGUUGUCUAGGUGGAAGUGACUGGGGUUGAAAUUGUUGUCUAGUGGGCAGCAGAAAUGGAACCCUAGCCGGACGCUGGACAUGUGCUGACAUCCAAUUUGUCAAGGUGGAAGUAACUGUGCUUGGAAUAGGUGUCUAGUGAGCAAUAACAAUGGAACUCAAGUCUGACACUUAACAUGUACUAACCUCCCUCCUGUUGAGGUGGAACUGACUGUGCCUUUAAUAGUUGUCUAGUGAGCAACAUAAAUGGAAGUCUAGCCAGACGCUAAACAAGUACUGACAUCCUAUUUGUCUAGAUGGAAGUGACUGUGGUUGGAAUAGUUGUUUAGUGUGUACUGGAUAUAGAACUGAAGUUAGAAAGUGGACCUGUAUUGACCUCACUCCAGUUUGGGUGGAAGUGCCUGUGCUUGGGAUAGCUGUCCAGUCAAAAAUUACAAGUCAAAUCUUGUCAGGUAAAAUUACAUAGAUAUCAAUAACAGCCGCAGCCUCAGUGGCAUGCAGCCCAAUCACAGAUUGCAUGCUCAACUGAGGUUAAGUUCUUAGAUGUGUGCUAUUGUGAUCAGUCACUGUCUGCUUUUAAAUGUGUGUUGUCUGUCGUGUUUUGGUAACACAGGAAAGAAGUUUAAAAAAACUGGACUUGCGUUCUUAGUUCUCACCCAUUUUAGAAACAAUCCAUAUGUGAUACUGUGUGUUGUAAAUUUGUGUUGAACAUUGUAAUUUUAGACAAAUAUUCAUUGCAGUGUUGUUAGUAGCAAGUUGGUCUUAGCAAUUAUCAAGUCAUUAAGAUAACUGUUAAUUAAUACUUGUAUGAACUGGGUUAAAUUAUUGUGAAUGAAUAUUUCAUUAAUUCCAUAAAUUUAACACCAACAUUAAAGCAAGUUAAUGACAUGUUCAUGUCUUUAGUUCAUGUCUAAAAGCGUAUGCCGUAUGUAUUUCAGUUUUUGUAUAGACAUUAAGAACUUCUAAAAUUCCAUAAAGUGAUUGAAAAUCUCAAUUUAACUUAUAAUUCUUGGACAAACAGAGUUUGGUACAAUAUUUUAAUUUUGAGUGGUCUCCCUUGGACUUGCUUUACUGAGUCAACUCGUAUAUGUCACUUCCAUUUGUUAACCAAUCCCUGAAUAAUGUGAAUAUGCCAUGAGGUUGGAUUAAAUGGACAGUCAACAA